rnacentral:rRNA from 1 species
UACGUAGGGGGCUAGCGUUGUCCGGAAUCAUUGGGCGUAAAGAGCGUGUAGGCGGCCCGGUAAGUCCGCUGUAAAAGUCAAAGGCUCAACCUUUGAAUGUCAGUGGAUACUGCCGGGCUAGAGUCCGGAAGAGGCGAGUGGAACUCCUGGUGUAGCGGUGGAAUGCGCAGAUAUCAGGAAGAACACCAACGGCGAAGGCAGCUCGCUGGGACGGUACUGACGCUGAGGAGCGAAAGCUAGGGGAGCAAACGGG